GAUGAACGCUAGCGACAGGCCUAACACAUGCAAGUCGAGGGGCAGCACGGUGUAGCAAUACACGGGUGGCGACCGGCGCACGGGUGAGUAACGCGUAUGCAACCUGCCUACUACAAGGGGAUAACCCGUUGAAAGACGGACUAAUACCCUAUAACACAGGGAAUCCGCAUGGAUAUAUUUGUUAAAGAUUUAUCGGUAGUAGAUGGGCAUGCGUUCCAUUAGCUUGUUGGUGAGGUAACGGCUCACCAAGGCAACGAUGGAUAGGGGAACUGAGAGGUUGAUCCCCCACACUGGAACUGAGACACGGUCCAGACUCCUACGGGAGGCAGCAGUGAGGAAUAUUGGUCAAUGGACGAGAGUCUGAACCAGCCAAGUCGCGUGAAGGAAGACGGCCCUACGGGUUGUAAACUUCUUUUGUAAGGGAAUAAAUAGUCUUACGCGCUAAGACGUUGCAGGUACCUUACGAAUAAGGAUCGGCUAACUCCGUG
rnacentral:rRNA from 1 species